CUUGCUGAGGCGAGCAGCUCCGGGGCGGGUGCGUUGUGCAGCAGAGCGGGGGAUCAAGGAGGGCAGGGCUUUUUAUUAUCUUUCCAAGGAGGGGAAAGCAAUGUCCAUCUGUACCCAGCUUUCACUUCAGAUUUUGUGAAAUAACACCGACACCUGAGAGCAUACCCAAAACAUGUUUGGUUGCCACUGGAUGCUGAAGCAUUGCGAUCAUCUGAUGUAUCCCUCCAUAGGCAGGAAGUCUCCUACCUCUCGCUUCAGGUUGCAGUUGAUCCAGAGGGGGAUCCUGGGGAUGGUAGCGCCCAUUAGCGUAGUGUCAGCCUUCUUGCAGCAUGGCUAAUGCAGCAUCUGAAAGGAGCAGACGUGCUCGGCUUAAGCAGCCAUAGUACUGCCACCAGAAUAGCCAGGAAUAACUUGGAGUCAGUUAAUAACCAAAAUCUGUUGAUGCCACUGGGAUGGAGAUGUGGUCCAUAUUGCAAAUGCUUGUCAUUCUUCUUCCCCUUUAGAAGUAUCAGGCAGUGGACAUGCAUCUGGUCCUGCCAGCAUUACGAGUGCUGGCCUCCAAUCUGCAGCAGAUAAAAGACAGGGAUCAGAGCCACGUGCCCUAGCUGCCAACCGUGGAGCUCUCAGCAACCUCGAGAUGCAUUCUGGUGUGCUACGCAUUUAGCUCUGUCUGCUGGAGAAGUAACAAAGGUCAAAUGAAGGAAAAUACAACUCAGAAAAAUAUCACCAGACAUGUCACACAGAACAUCUCUCUUCUUUCGAUAAAUAAAACCAGCACAGAUUCACAACAGAGACCAGGGUCCAAAGUUUCCACAAGGAGAGGGUUGCCCUCUACCAACAAAUCAUGCAGGGGUACCAGCUGUACAAACUGAUGUGCAAAGAAGUUACUCUGCAAGGGAUACUUGAAGCACGACUAUGCACUCGGCUCCAUUUGCAGCGAAGUUACAGAUCAGACGAAGCAUCUUCAAACCAGCGUCUGCUGCUGUGUGGCUUUCCAGAGAGCUCCAUGAUAAGGGCAGAGCAUCAGCGUAUCACCUUCCUGAGAGCACCAUUAAAGGCAGAAGAUGUUCUCCAAGGCCGUCCACAGUUGCUGUUCAUGAGUGCAAGACAGGCGCUGCUCAGCCCUGCCAUCUACAAACCAGCCUGCAGAAGAUGGAUUUCUGAGGUGAACUGUCCUGCACCGAUAAGCAUCUCUGAUAAAAACCUGAUAUUCGCUGUGUGAUCCAGGAGAAGAGACGCGAGGAUCCAUCAGAACAUGUCCCUCCCUGACCACCACAGGGCUGCUUCCCAGAAGAUGGUGCUCUUUCCCCGAGACUGGUGAGGGAGACCUUACAUCAGUGUUGAGGCCAAGGUGUCCACCAUCUCCCCAGACUGACAGCAGCCUUAACAGAAACUCCUGCAGGGCAGUGGAUGGAAGCAUGGAGAAGAGUCAGACAAUAAAAAAGACGUUUGGGCAAGGUCAGUGAAUUUGAAGAAGGAACCAGGGCAAUGCCAGGAGUUUGCAGUGUUCAUCUGCUGGGGACUGGUGGAAGAGAUUUUGAAUGUAGGUGAAGUCACCUCACAUAUGGUAAGUAUUUUAGAAAAAAUGGAAUAGAGCAUAACAGAAUCCUUUUUUUUUUUUAUUUGGGUGGAAGUCUUUGAUUUUUUUCUUAGCCAUCAAACUGAAAAACAGCUGCUCAGUUAGCUCUAGCCAGAAUAUAACUCCCCGCCUUUUUGCAGGGUGUGCUGCUAAACAGGCAGUGUCUGCAGAGCAUUUGUUGUUGCUGCGUAUUGUCACUAUAGAAGAACUCAAAUGAGUGGGAAGAAAUGCAAUUGUGUGUUCAGCAGUGGUGGUGUCGGGGCAUCUUGGGUUAAAGGCCCACGGUUAAGCAUGGUGACUGCCAAAAACAUGCAGUUUUUGUUAGGAAUGCUUGAAAUAAUUAAAAGUCUGAUUUUUCAGUGGUGCACUGUGGAUACUGUGCAUAGACUCAGUGAAAUUUGUCAAAUUUCAGGUAACGUUUAUAAAGCUUCAAAGGGCCAGGGCAUUCUUUGAAACUACUCAUGGGAGGAGGAGUCCUUCCACAUAGCCACGAAAAAUGAGAAUUCCCGCAAUCUCUUCCUUGCAGGAACCUGCUCUGGUCUGAAUACUGACCUGCUUUUGAAACAUAUGAAAGAUUUAUUUAUUUAUUUAUUUAUAGUAAAUGCAGACAUAAUAUUUGUGUUAUUUUACCAUCCUCUGCAUCUCUAAAAGCUCCCUGACUUUAUCAUAAUACUGUUUCUGGAUUUGGCCCAUAUGUGAAAUCAAAAGCAGAGAAAUUCCUUUAGAGUGUGGAUGAAAUCUCAGACCAUGGGUGUUGAAGUAUAACCUUAGCUAUGACUGUGAUGUUAAAUAUCCACCGAUAAAGUAUUUGUGGGCCUAUGGAUCAUCAAGGAAGAUGUGCAAGUGGCAGACUGAACUGUUCCCAACAAACUGUGGCUGUCUGCCCAGCCAAUAUAUAUUGUCAUGACAAUUAUUUGCAAAAUAAUUGAAGCUAGUUUCUGUAUAACUCCUGUGAGUUUCCUUGUUAUCAGCCACAUAUGCUCGAUGCCUAACAUUUGAAAGUUUAAAAGGUUUUGAAGCUUUUAUUUUCUAUAGCUAUCACAGGCUGACAAGAGUCACUGUGGCAGCAACAGGAAAGUGUUUGGGAUCAGUCUAAGGAGAGGGAGAAAAGCUGGAGGAAGGUGAUGGUGAAACUAGGGCAUUUGUGGCGCUUUCUAGGAGUAGGGGCUCAUGUCACUUUUCUGGUUGCUUUGUGAGGGCUAUUAAAUUGUAAUGCCAAAGCCUUUUCCAUCAGUGGCCUAAAAGUAUUUGAGUAUUACCAAUUAUUUAGACAGUAGCUUCAUAGUUUGUGGUUGCUCAGGCAUCAGCCACAAGGAAAAUCCGCGGUUAUGCUCACCCAGCUGGAUAGAUAGCUUGUGACUAAAGUGUCUGAUCAACAAGGCUUAUGUUUGAGAUCUAGCAUUGCGAAUUUGAGCUGCUUUCAAAGUAGCUGCAAGAAUUAAGCAGAAAAUAUUUCUAAUGAGAAACUGCAAUUGGUUUCUUGCUCCCUUUCAAACUGAAAAAGACACAAAAUCAAUCAAAACUCAGGGUAAAUUAUUCACCUGACUUUAGCAAAGAAACAAACUGGCAAUAAAAGGCCCUUCAUUGUGAGAGGCAGCAGAGCCCACACAGCAAAUGGGGCUGUAGAAAGUGUGGCUGAGCAGCCUCCUCCAGUUUGUGUCUCUGCUCUAGCCAUACUCCUGCUAGGCAUUUGCAAUUUUCCAGGUUGUGCAGAAAUAAAACACUGCAUUCAAUGUGGGGAGAAGACAUAGGCAGGCAACACCAACAUGUCACACCCAGUUUUAAAGUCCAAGGUACCAUUUUGCAUUAAGAGAAUAACAAAUCUUUCAGGUGAACAAAUAUUCAAGUCCUGGAGCAGUACACUGAGACAGAGGUUUAAUGAACUCUUUAGGGGUGGUUUUUCAGCUUGUGUAAAUUGGUUCAGAAAAAAAAAAAAAAGCCAGCAAAAAAGUUGCCCUGUCUUUAUAUAACUACACAGUAAUGAUCUCUCCCUGUUCUGCUGGGGAGCUUUUAUCCUCAAACGCUGUGUUCCAUGUGGAUUAUCUUGAUGUUUUUUUUUCCCCAUUUAACACAGGAGAUAAAGACUCUGGCCUCUGUAUUUAACUGUAGCGUUUUCUAUCAGAAAAUAAGGCAAUACUUUCUAAGGGUAGCUCAUGCAUUGAACUCAGCUGUCAAAGCUACUCAUGCUGCCUUGGGUAAUUGGCUACUCACAAAUCUUUAUCUAAAGUAUAAAGUAAAUAACUACCAAAAAGCCUAACCUAAACUGAAGCUGUAAAUUAUCCCACAAAUUCCUUUUACUGCUGUUUUGCUUGGAUUUACUCAACCUAUAAAUCAGAACUGAACAAGACUUGCACAGAAUGAUGGCCACAAGGAUCUUUAUGAGGUCUACAGCCAUAAAUUUUGAAGCUGAAGAGGCUGAACCAGGAACCAUCUGAGCUCUCCUUCCCGCACGGUUUGUAUGCUCGCUUGCUCACGCACUUCUGCCAGCUUCCUUGGCAUUACUCAAAAUGCGUUCUGCCUCAUUGUUUAGAAACUUGUGUAAUGUUUUGGUUUUUGUUUUUAAAAUGGGUAGGAUGGUAGGAGAUUGAGGGGUGCCCAGCUUUCUCUGCAAUGAGCAGUUGUUAGAGCAACCACCCAAACCACAGUAAGGCUGGAUUUGGCUUCCUCUGGAGCCCAUGUGGUUUGGACUGGCAUUUUCAGCUGCCUGGAGAGCUGCUGGAAAGUAACGCUGUUAAAUACAUCUGUGUUUCAUGGUUUAGGAAAAGCAAAGGAAGCAAUGGCUGAAAGAAGAGUUGUGGAGAUUUUACAAGAAAUAACACUUGGGUCAGGGACUGGAAGUCAGAAUGACGGAGGCCUUGCUGGACUGUGCCUGCUGUCUCCUACUGAACAUCUUCCAGGAUCGUGCUAUCCCAGAACUCAUAAACUAUGGGAAACAAACGUUCAGGUUUUAAAUGUCAUAUAAAUUUGGCAUAGCUGAAUUAAUGGUUCCAGCUCUGAAAGCUGCUGUUUUACUUUACCACUCAGUAAGCUUGGUGCUCGCUUAUCAUGAAUCUGAUUAAAAUCCACAUCUCCGAGUCUGACAAACCAAAUCAUAAAAUCCUGGGCCAAUGGGGAUUGCCUCUCAGAGUUAACCGUAGCUCCUAGGUGCUGUUUCAGCCUGCAAGACAGAAGAAAUUUUGAAAUAAAGAUGCAUUUAUCUGUCUUCCUGUCCUUGCUGCCGUUGGUUAAAUGUGUUGGUCUGUUUGCCUGUGGAGCUGUGCUGCAGAGGUAGCAUCGGGGACUAUGCUAUUUAUUUACUUCUGUGCCCUGUUCUCAAAUCCACAACAUUCCUGUAAAUGUGUGGCAUGGCUUUUGUCUGAAUAACAUGUAUUAAUUUCUUUAUCUGAAUACUGUAGAAAUGUACAAUACGACACUGCCAAGAUUUACUGCACAGAGCUCAACUGCUGGGUGGAGGAUAGCUGCAGUGACAGGACUAAUGCAAUUCACAUCAGGGCAUUCUGUGGACCCGUAGUUGAUGCCAGAGCCACCACGCUGCAGUUCUGCUGGAUGAUGCCGUACGUCUCUAUCCCUGCCAUCCAAUUCUGAGCGCUCACUGUGCUGUUCAGCAGAAGGGCUUGUUAGAAAAAAAGGUUAAUAUGGAGCAUCAGCAGGAGCGUGGGUAAUAGUUACAAUGAGAUUGGGACAACAACACAGCGCUGUUUCACUGCAAGCUGCAGUUACGUGGAAAACUGAAUGUGUAUGCUUCAUCUCUACGGCUGUAAAGGCAAUUUCCCAGGAAACACACUGCCACCCGAGGACUCUGCCCUGCUUCACAGCCAGCCCCAGGCAGCUCCGCUGGCCUCGCAGGGCCAGGACAGCGCUGGCAUUGCUGCCAGGUCUGCUGCUGCGAGCACCACCUCACUGCCACCUUCCCACCGGGCCUAAGAAACCGUCCCAGGAGUCAUGGGAGCACUGCUUACCAGCAACGCGUGUAACAAAACAAGGGCCCCAAGACACUUACCAGAAGGGAUGCUGUUUUCUUGUCUGUUUGUUUUUGCUGAUGGCUUGGUUUGUUAUUUUUGGUGGGUGAAUUUUUGAUACUGUAUCAGGAAGCCUUAAAUGAAACAGAAAUAAGUUUUGUAUUCCCAGAUUUGCUAAUCUUUCCAAAAUAUGAUUAUUGACCUGUUUCUUUUCACUUUAUCUUGGACUAAUGUUCCAAUUCUAACAGACAACAUAACUUAGGACAGAAUUUCAAGAAAAACAAUUAACUAUUAAGCUCCAAAUUGUUUUUCUCUCCCCCACCCCCAAUCAAACACAAUUCCUUUGCUGCUAAAUGCCUUCAAAAUCAGCCUGAUGCUGAGGCUUUAAAAUUACAACAAAACAGAAAAGUAGGGCAGGCAAGCAGAGGAAAUUUUUCAGACGCAGUCAUGAUGGCCAUAAAUCCCAAUUCCACUGCAGUCAGUAUUAAAGAGCACCUUGCUGCCGCUGCCAGCAGGGGUGGGCUGCCGGCCUGAUGUCCGAGUCCUGCAUUUAUGUGGCAUACCGAUGUGUAAUGGGGCAGCUAGUAAAAUGUGAGCAGUGCACAGAAUCACAGAACUGUCUAGGUUGGAAGAGACCUCAAGAUCAUCGAGUCCAACCUCAGCAGUUCUUACAGUCUGCUGGAAAAAAAAAAAUAAAAAGUGUGAAGAGUACAAUGCUUGCAUUCAUUUUCUUCAUGCUUACCUCACUUGGAAAUUAUUCUUUUUUAUGUAAAACACUGCUAGGCGCUGACUUAUCAGAGAGCUGUGCUUCCCUCAGUUCAGUGGGUUUAUUUUGGGUCUGCAUUGCAAGCAACAGCCUAAUUUUGGCUCCAAGACUUGUGGUUGGCCAGGUAUGCUCUAUGAAUAAAGUCAACUGCUGCUGCAAAAUGGCACAGCCUCACUUCUACUGAAAUACAGUAGCAGAUUGUAAGAACUCUUUUCUUUGAAUUGAAUACCUUUCUUUCAUCGUGCCUUAUGUCAGUAGACAAUUACAUUGUCAAAUCUGUAUGCAAAUAGACACAAACUUGACAAAACCUGGAUGCUAUUACAGUUGCUGCAAGCGUGCAGUCCAACUGUGCUAAUCGAUCCUGGCAGCUGGAAAUUACCUUUUCCUUUACAUUCUCCCAGUUAUUCCGAGGUAUCUUCGGGACCAGCUGACACCCAAAUCUAUGCUGUCAGGUUCCACAGGAGGCAGUGAGUAACAGCAGCUCUUCUGAUACACCAGCAGCCUGUGGUAUCACCUCAUUGAUUUGUGCUAUGCCUGACAGCCCCAAACUUGCUCCUACAAGAGGUUAGACAGCAGUCUGUUGGGAUGACACAAAUAAAAUACAUGCUUCCUUGGUGUGGUGAAACAUCCUGGGGACUCUUCCCAUCAGGUGGUUCCAUGAGCUUGUUGUGAAGAUCACAUUUACCGAAACUACAGCUAUGUAGGAAUUGGGAAGGGAAUUCUGCAACAAUUACUUGGUUUAUUUCUGGUUGCAGACAAAUUCUUCUUCAAUGACUGUGAGGAAGAAGUUCUUGAGUUCCUGUGGUGUUUAGGAAAGCUUCAGCUCUGAGAUAAAUGCCUUCCUAUUUGCCUUGGCACGUUGCUUGGUUGGCUUGGCUCAGUCACAGGGGAGGCAAGCCUCUUCACCUGGAACAAUCCGCCCACCAACAAAAUCUUAAGGAAAAAACUGCUUGAGAAAUGAAGCUUUUUUUUUUUUUUUUUUUUUUUUUUUUUUCCACCUGCACCCUUGCCCUCCAGCCAGCCUGGUAUUUGCUUGAGUGGGAAGGUUGCUGCUUGUAGCUCGGGUCUCUGGCGAGGAGCUGUGAGCUCCUUCCCCCCCACUCCCGUCCCUGUGCCCCAGGGAUAACGGGGAUUGCCUCACGGGACCUGGUAGUAGUUACACUUCAGACUCAGAUGGCAAAGCUAUCACUUUUUCAAACAAAAGAAAGGGAUAAGCUCAUAUCCAUACAGACCUAUGGAAAUUAAAGGGAAACACGGCUCAACUUUCACUUGGUGAACUCACCUACAAGGCAAAUGAACCGGCCACUGCCGAAACAAACAGAAGGCCCUUCUCGGGGCAGGGAGCAUCACCUUCCUACCAGGUCUCAACUUGCCAAACCACUCCCAAGGAAGGGUAGAUCUUGGAGGAGCUGCAGAAAGAUGCCCUUGGUAUUCUGCAGCCGUAACUUCAACAGCCAAUAUCCUACUGCUUUCCAUGAGGCGCGGGUUCCCCCACACACCUGGAGAGGAGAACUGUAAAACACUGAAGGGAAAGCUCGCAGAGAGUCUGCCCCACAUUAUGAUGACUGUAUGGCUGCCGUUGUGCUUGAGAUGGAUGGCCCGUGGCUGCAAAAGCCCUGCUUGCUGCAGAGGAAGAGAAGUGCUACAGCAAGUCAUAAAAAACGUCCCUCUGAACCGUGAGAAAGAAUCGGCAGAGAUGCGGGAAGCUCAGCAGAGCAGAUUUGCCAUCCUCACAGCUGGGAACUGCGAAUGCUGAGAGCCCCACGGCGAGCAGCUAAAUAACAGCCUCUCCAGAAGUAAUCUUCAUAAAUCAAGGAGCAGUUUACCACACCUGACACCUCACUGAAGGAAGAGAUCUCGUGGCUGCUCGAGCCGACGGCUGCAGGCGCCAGCCCAGACCUGAUCCCGCCCAGGUCUGCCUGGAGCUGCUCCGUGGAGCAAGGCACAACCCCAGCCAGGUUUGCCAGCCUCACACCCCAGCUCGGGGAGGAUUCCCGGCAGCCCAGCACCUGGUGACAGAAGGACAUUGGGGCUGGAAGUGAGGCAGUCCAGGGCCUCCCAGGUAAGGGCAAAAUUCACAGCUGAAAGUCACCUGGAAAGACAGGAGGGGAAGGGAAAUGCUGGCAGAAUAAGGAGCCCAAGCACUGCAGACUCUGUGUUGGUAGAAAAAAAUCACUGUAUGGUAUUCUCCUUUUUUGCCUCUCAAAAACGUCAAGAACUCUUUUUUUUUUUUUCAAAGAAUUCUCCAAGAUUUUUUUUAUUUGCAAAAAAAAAAAAAGAAAAGAUUUCCACAGACAAUUCUGUAGAAAGCUCCUCACUGUCUCGCCAGCAGAACUGAUUGCAUACGUAAUGAGCAUUUUUUUUUUACUUCUCUAGUGACUGCAGGCUGGCUUUCUUACAAGCCUGGUGCCAUAUCAGUGGCUCUGCUGCAGGAGAGGCUUUGCUGAAACCCACAACUAGCUGUGAGGUUUAAAUCCGUGAGAAAUCAGGCUUCUGUAUUUCCUGGCUCAGGUAACCCCUCCUCAUUUAGCUGCUUUGCAAAGUGGAGCUGAGCCUAUGCAGUUGAAGCUGUCUUGUGAGCAUCCCAAAGCCUCCCUGCUCUGCCCCCCUGAAGCCUGGCGUAUCGUUCCCACCCUGGUGCUCGACAGCCUAGUUUCUACCCUAGGCAUCAGCAUAAAGGGAACACGGCACUCAGUAGAUUUUUAAGAGGUAGAUAUUUGGCUCAAAAGUGUUGAUUGUUUUAUUAAUGGGCUUAAUUUUGCAAAGCUGCAUAUGCCUAAGGCACGUAACCUCUUGCUUUGAACAAAGAGGAAAAAAAUCAUCCUAAGCUUCACGAACGCACAAAAAAAAAUCAACUGUCAAAACUCUACUCUCAAGGAAGGGUUUGUUUUCACAGUCUGUCACUAUAAUCAGAUCAGUGUCUCCAUCUCCCCGCAAUCUCCCUACGUUUUGCCUUGACAGUAGCAGCAGUCACCGCACCGACGCGAGGCAGGAAGGCAUCAAAGACUCAGGGGUCCCGCGGUACGGCAGGGCCCAGCUGCUGCAGCUUCGGGCAAACCUCCCCGGCAGCUCCCUGCCUGCACCACCGAGGCACGCAGAUGCACUUUACAACCCAAGCUUCAUCCUGACCUCCCCAAACCUUUCCUUCUGCGGGGUCAGGUUGCCGACGUUAUCUUAAUGCACUUUCAGGUCUUGCGAACUCGUGGGGAAGCUUCUGGGAGCGCGGUGGAAUUGAUUUCACCUCCUCCAGGUGGUCUGUGCCCAGCCUGUUCACCAUCUCCUUGGAAGAUAUUGGCUUUCUGUGGUUGCUAAUAGGCCAGUUGCCUAGAGUACUGCAAUGCGAUGCGAAAACAAACAACAAACAGCUCAAAUAAAGCCAAAACUCUGCUUAGUGUUUCCAUUAAUGGCAUUCUGAAGAAUAUUGCAAGGGAAGGCAAUGCCAGAGGACAGGGCACUGACCCCAGCUCAGGCCCCAGAGUGAUGGCUGAGGGCAGAUUUCAGGCUGUUUCAAUAAGCUCAUAGCUCUGAGAGAAAAUGACAUGAAAUCCCUCUCAGGACAGGAAAAAAAAAAUGUUGCCUGCCCUAAAAUGCCUGGGCAACAACAAGGGUACUGGGAGUAAACGCACCAAGAUUUGUCCCUUAGACGUGGCGAGCUGAGGCUCCUCUUCCCCGCCGAAAGCUCUGCUGCGGAGGUUGUUUUCUGGGGGCCCUCACAAAGUCACUUCACUAAACAGAGCCACGCUGGAACAUUUUUCAGAGCCAUUAACUUGAACAGACAGGACGCAAAUAACGCAGGCACAAAGCAGGCAAAGCUCCACCAGCCACCAGCGGUGGCAGAUCCGCCAGCCGAAGCCUUUGGUCAGAGACCUGAGUGCUCAGCAGCUGCAGCAGUGCAAAAUAAGUGGGACCAGAAUCAGAUCCCAUCUAGCUAGCAGCAAAUAUCCUUGGGAAAGGGGGAGAGAAGAGGUCACGUUGCCCAGUGCUUGGUUGUACUUGCAUGGCACUUUUUACAAGGCCACCUCUGUGCACUUCCCUCAGGCACAGAUCACCUGCCUCCUCCCAGGACAGCUGGGCACCCGGUGUCUACCUGUGCACCCUGGUGCAGCUCUGGCAUGCACGUCAAGAGCAGCCUGUAUAUUUAUUUUCCUGUUCCUAUGAAGAUUUU